rnacentral:rRNA from 1 species
AUUGAACGCUGGCGGCAGGCCUAACACAUGCAAGUCGAGCGAGCGGCGGACGGGUGAGUAAUGUAUGGGAAUCUGCCCGAUGGAGGGGGAUAACUACUGGAAACGGUGGCUAAUACCGCAUACUAUCGGAUGAACCCAUAUGGGAUUAGCUAGUAGGUGGGGUAAAGGCUCACCUAGGCGACGAUCCCUAGCUGGUCUGAGCGGAUGACCAGCCACACUGGGACUGAGACACGGCCCAGACUCCUACGGGAGGCAGCAGUGGGGAAUAUUGCACAAUGGGCGCAAGCCUGAUACAGCCAUGCCGCGUGUAUGAAGAAGGCCUUAGGGUUGUAAAGUACUUUUAGCGGGGAGGCGUUACCCGCAGAAGAAGCACCGGCUAACUACGUGCCAGCAGCCGCGGUAAUUC